CGGUCAAGCAAGAGUCUGACGGAGCACGCCGCGUGAACGAAGAAGGCCUUCGGGUCGUAAAGUUCUGUUGUUAGGGAAGAACAAGUACCAGAGUAACUGCUGGUACCUUGACGGUACCUAACCAGAAAGCCACGGCUAACUACGUGCCAGCAGCCGCGGUAAUACGUAGGUGGCAAGCGUUGUCCGGAAUUAUUGGGCGUAAAGCGCGCGCAGGUGGUUCUUUAAGUCUGAUGUGAAAGCCCACGGCUCAACCGUGGAGGGUCAUUGGAAACUGGGGAACUUGAGUGCAGAAGAGGAAAGUGGAAUUCCAAGUGUAGCGGUGAAAUGCGUAGAGAUUUGGAGGAACACCAGUGGCGAAGGCGACUUUCUGGUCUGUAACUGACACUGAGGCGCGAAAGCGUGGGGAGCAAACAGGAUUAGAUACCCUGGUAGUCCACGCCGUAAACGAUGAGUGCUAAGUGUUAGAGGGUUUCCGCCCUUUAGUGCUGCAGCUAACGCAUUAAGCACUCCGCCUGGGGAGUACGGCCGCAAGGCUGAAACUCAAAGAAAUUUGACGGA
rnacentral:rRNA from 2 species